GCCGCUCCCGGGUCGCUUCUUUCGAAACCCUGGUGGAGGGGGUGGGGGUGCUCCCUCGGGCUUCUCGAGCGCGUGACCGACCCCCUCCCCCGAGUCUAGCUACCCAAAUAAAUCCGAAAUAGGGCUGCCAGGAGGAGUGAAUAGGCCCGAACCUCUGUCCCCCUGCCGCUCGGGCCUGGGAACCGCUCUCCCGAGGGCCGAAGGGUGCCGAGCCGAGCUGACUCAGUGCCCACCCGAGGGUCGAGGCCCCGGGAGGACUUCGGUAGUUGACGCCGCUUUCCCUGAACGCCCUGAUUCACCGGGAGCCAGCCGCAUCACUGCUUCCUUGACUGCGAUUGCGUCAAGAUCCCGCCGAGGGAAACUAAGUGCUGACGGUUUUGCGUUGUAGUUGCUACACUAGAGGCAGAUGGAAGACUGUGAGGAGAGGCUCGUGAACGCACUCGCCAGAGAAACUUCUUGGGCCGGGUUAAUAUUAACUUAGGGACUCGGGACACGGAUUCCCCUGGGCAAAGUGCUGGGACGGGUAAAGGCCCUUCCCUCUGACCCUCUCCUGAGAAGCAGAGCCGCUAUAAAGGCAAUUCAUCUACACUCUGCGUGCCACCAUGUACUCAUUUCCUACCUUGAAGGCUUUGGAGGCCUGUUGUAAAGCCAAAACCAGUUAUUGGGAAGUACUUUGCCUAUGAAAGUCUUGAUGACUUUAAGGAUAAGUCCAUUUGCUGCUCUUACAACUAACUAAUCCUGAUGACAUCUGUAUUUCCUGGUAGACUAGGCUAGAGCAGUGAUACUGAUCUGUAAAAAGUAUUUUCGUCACCUGAAAUCUUAGAGACUCGCAACAACAAAAAACCCCGCAGUACAUCUUUAGCCAUGUUCACUUUUGACAUUGUGUUGUCACUGUUAGGUUGGGUGACAUAAUAAACUGGAAGAACCAUUGUUCAGUC